UCUUUAUGGCGGAACCUUGAGGAAGUGAGCCCUGGGCUGGGGCCUGAGUGUGAGCAUGGGCAGUGGGAACAGCGGCCAUAAAGAAAGGCCUUGGCACAGAGGAAAAUGGGCAGGUCUCCCCAGACGUACUACGGUUCCAAGUGGCUUCCUAGAUGCAGGUCUUAGGACAAGGGUGUCUCCAGAGCUUGGAAACUGGCCUUGACCCUGUUUCCAGCCCAGCCCUUGAGAAUCAGCCUCUUCCCCUCCGCGUCCAGCCCGCCACCCACAGCUUGUGUGGCAACGUGCACAGAAACAUUCAUGUCUCCAGCUCUCGGAUCCUCCCGGCGACGACUUCCUCAAACCGGUUACUUAAUGAACGUCAUCCAAUUCCGAUUCUGUCUUGCCAUAGCCUCAUUUGCGAAAGCCAAUCUGCUUUAUGAUUUUAACCUCUGGCUAGAAACUGCUCCCAAUUUCAUGUCAUCCAUAAACUUGAUGAACGA